rnacentral:tRNA from 1 species
CAAAUUAGAGUUUGAAUAAACAUUUCAUUUACAUUGAAAAAAUAAUAAAUUUUAUUUAAUUUGA